UUGGAGCAUACCGGGGCGAAGGCGUCCCUUGGUCGAAGAUUGACGUUCAGGUGAGAAAGCUUGGGAGCAAACAGAAUAGAUACCUUGGUAUUCCCCGCUUUAAACGAUGUGCAUUUGGAGGUUGUGCCCUUGAGGUGUGGCUUCCGGAGCUAACGCGUUAAAUCGACCGCCUGGGGAGUACGGCCGCAAGGUUAAAACUCAAAUGAAUUGACGGGGGCCCGCACAAGCGGUGGAGCAUGUGGUUUAAUUCGAUGCAACGCGAAGAACCUUACCUACUCUUGACAUCCAGAGAACUUUCCAGAGAUGGAUUGGUGCCUUCGGGAACUCUGAGACGGGUGCUGCAUGGCUGUCGUCAGCUCGUGUUGUGAAAUGUUGGGUUAAGUCCCGCAACGAGCGCAACCCUUAUCCUUUGUUGCCAGCGGUUCGGCCGGGAACUCAAAGGAGACUGCCAGUGAUAAACUGGAGGAAGGUGGGGGUGACGUCAAGUCAUCAUGGCCCUUACGAGUAGGGCUACACACGUGCUACAAUGGCAUAUACAAAGAGAAGCGACCUCGCGAGAGCAAGCGGACCUCAUAAAGUAUGUCGUAGUCCGGAUUGGAGUCUGCAACUCGACUCCAUGAAGUCGGAAUCGCUAGUAAUCGUAGAUCAGAAUGCUACGGUGAAUACGUUCCCGGGCCUUGUACACACCGCCCGUCACACCAUGGGAGUGGGUUGCAAAAGAAGUAGGUAGCUUAACCUUCGGGAGGGCGCUUACCACUUUGU
rnacentral:rRNA from 1 species